ensembl:lncRNA
CUGAAGAGAGAAGGAGCAAGCCUGUUUGUGAGAAUGGAGAGCUGUUUGUGCAAUUAGCAAGGCAUUUUGAGCUGCAUUUCUAGUUUCUGUGGACGUGUUUAACAACGUCUUAUGAAAGAUAACAGGGUCAUUUCAAGGUCACAAAGGUCAGUUGCAUAAUUUUCUGUCUGGGGGAAAAAAUCACUUCUUUAAAAAAAUGUAUAACAGAACAGUGGCAGUAAAUUCUGUCUCCUUAGCAUACGGAAUAUGUUAGCUUCUGUUCAUUUAUGGAAAAAGUGAAGUGAAUGAAUCCUGUAGGUGGAGGACUCAGGAUGUGACCUGUUCCACCCUCCCAUCCCACACACCAUCCUGAGAGAGGCCCACUAUGGAGCUGCAGGCCUACAGGGAGCAUGAGAAGCCAAAGAGCACAACUCCACCAAAUGGGAUAAAGCUAUUGGUGAUGAUGGAAGAUGGCAGUUUCAUUCCUUCCAUCAUUAACACCCCUACAGCUUUUCCACCUACUGCUUGGAGCUGAUCCAGAGAGGAGAUGAGAGCCGCUGGCCCUGUCUGUGAUUCUGGGGGAGCUCAUCAUGCCGGCUUCACGGUGCAGCAUCAGGCAGAGCUGCGCGGGACUGUUGGUAUUGAGCAGGGAGGAGCGCCCCGGGCAAAAUCCAUCAAAAAGGAGCUGUUUGCACUGUGGGAAUAGACAUGAAUAAUCCAUGCUUUCUUUACCAUUUCCUCAGUAACUGUGUGUAUCCCAUUACAUUCUCAGUUGCCUUUUCUUCAAAUAGCCUAACAUUGUGUUUGUAUUAGCGUUUUUAGUGAAUAGUGAUAUUUUUUAAGUAUGAAGAAUUUAUCCACAUAUUUUUUGGGGGCAGCUGACUUAAGUAUAUGACAGGGGGAAAAAAGGAAAGAAAAAACAGUUUUAUCAUACUGAUAUCAAGAAGUCAUCAGGCUUAACAAAAAGAAAUGAUUUGGGAAUAUAUAAAACAUCUAAAAACUGAAGCAAGUGUCACUAAAAGUAUCAAUAAUUUCAGCUUUAAAUAACAACUUUCAAUUUUUUGUUUUUCUAAGCACAUUUCCACCAUUUACAUGCCAAUAAAGUGUUAUUUAAGUGUUA